rnacentral:rRNA from 1 species
UUACCCACUCCCGGCACGGGGAGGUAGUGACGAAAAAUAACGAUACGGGACUCAUCCGAGGCCCCGUAAUCGGAAUGAGUACACUCUAAACCCUUUAACGAGGAUCAAUUGGAGGGCCAGUCUGGUGCCAGCAGCCGCGGUAAUUCCAGCUCCAAUAGCGUAUAUUAAAGUUGUUGCGGUUAAAAAGCUCGUAGUCGAAUUUGUGUCUCGUGCCGCCGGUUCAUCGUUCGCGGUGUUAACUGGCGAGUCGCGAGACGUCCUGCCGGUGGGCUUAGCCCGCAAGGGCGGCCCAACUCAAUCCUGCCGCGGUGCUCUUCAUUGAGUGUCGAGGUGGGCCGGCACGUUUACUUUGAACAAAUUAGAGUGCUUAAAGCAGGCUAAAACUUCGCCUGAAUACUGUGUGCAUGGAAUAAUGGAAUAGGACCUCGGUUCUAUUUUGUUGGUUUUCGGAACCCCGAGGUAAUGAUUAAUAGGAACGGAUGGGGGCAUUCGUAUUGCGACGUUAGAGGUGAAAUUCUUGGAUCGUCGCAAGACGGACAGAAGCGAAAGCAUUUGCCAAAAACGCUUUCAUUGAUCAAGAACGAAAGUUAGAGGUUCGAAGGCGAUCAGAUACCGCCCUAGUUCUAACCAUAAACGAUGCCAGCUAGCGAUCCGUCGACGUUCCUCCGAUGACUCGACGGGCAGCUUCCGGGAAACCAAAGCUUUUGGGUUCCGGGGGAAGUAUGGUUGCAAAGCUGAAACUUAAAGGAAUUGACGGAAGGGCACCACCAGGAGUGGAGCCUGCGGCUUAAUUUGACUCAACACGGGAAACCUCACCAGGCCCGGACACCGGAAGGAUUGACAGAUUGAGAGCUCUUUCUUGAUUCGGUGGGUGGUGGUGCAUGGCCGUUCUUAGUUGGUGGAGCGAUUUGUCUGGUUAAUUCCGAUAACGAACGAGACUCUAGCCUGCUAACUAGGCGUAUUUUGACAUCCUAAAGGCCCGCCGGCUCGGGG